CGUAGGUGGCAAGCGUUAUCCGGAAUUAUUGGGCGUAAAGCGCGCGUAGGCGGUUUCUUAAGUCUGAUGUGAAAGCCCACGGCUCAACCGUGGAGGGUCAUUGGAAACUGGGAGACUUGAGUGCAGAAGAGGAAAGUGGAAUUCCAUGUGUAGCGGUGAAAUGCGCAGAGAUAUGGAGGAACACCAGUGGCGAAAGCGACUUUCUGGUCUGUAACUGACGCUGAUGUGCGAAAGACGUGGGGAGUCAAACAGGAUU
rnacentral:rRNA from 1 species